GUCCGGGCUCCAUAGGGCAAGGUGCCAGGUAACGCCUGGGGGGUGUCACAGCCCACGACCAGUGCAACAGAGAGCAAACCGCCGAUGGCCCGCGCAAGCGGGAUCAGGUAAGGGUGAAAGGGUGCGGUAAGAGCGCACCGCGCGGCUGGUAACAGUCCGCGGCACGGUAAACUCCACCCGGAGCAAGGCCAAAUAGGGGUUCAUAAGGUACGGCCCGUACUGAACCCGGGUAGGCUGCUUGAGCCAGUGAGCGAUUGCUGGCCUAGAUGAAUGACUGUCCACGACAGAACCCGGCUUAUCGGUCAGUUUCACCU
rnacentral:RNase_P_RNA from 1 species